CACGUAGGCGGGAAUUUAAGUCAGAUGUGAAAGACCGGGGCUCAACCUCGGGGUUGCAUUUGAAACUGGAUUUCUUGAGGGCAGGAGAGGGAAGCAGAAUUCCUGGUGUAGCGGUGAAAUGCGUAGAAAUCAGGAGGAAUACCAGUGGCGAAGGCGGCUUUCUGGACUGACCCUGACGCUGAGGUGCGAAAGCGUGGGUAGCAAACA
rnacentral:rRNA from 1 species